rnacentral:lncRNA from 1 species
UUUUUUCCCUUUUUUCCUCUGUUUUUCGGCUAUGUCUUUACUCGUUGCUUUCCCCGCUGCCGGGUGACGCCGCCGGGCCGGUGCUCGGGCCCCGCUCGGUCAGGCCGGGCCCCGCCGCCGCGGCGGGAGCCUGCCGCGCCGCUCGCCCUCCCGAGCCAUGGCUCUCUCUGCGCUCCGCCGCCCGGGCAGCGGCUCGGCUGCUGCAGCGCCGCGGCCGCCGCAAAGGCGCAUGCGCACGGCGCCCCCCGCCCCGCCCCUCCCGCGCCGGACACGCCCCCCGUGACGUCACCGCCUCUAUUAAGGAGGCGAGCCCCGCGCGGCGGCGCCCAGAGCCGGUGCCGUCCUGCGCCGCCGCCCCGGGCCCUAGCGCCCCCCUCCGCCUCGCUCCCGGGCACAAAGGCCCGAUCCCCCCCUGCUCCCCCCGCACCCCGCCUCCGCCGGGCGGGCGGCUCCCGGGUAUUAGGGCCGCCCGCCCCGCUCCGCCCCUUCGGUGACUCCGCGUUUUCCGUGAGCGCGGAGCCUCCUCACCUCACCGUGAGCUUCCGGGGGGUGAGACGCCCUGCUCCUGGCGCCCGCGGGCCGUGCCCGCCCCGUGGCCCCUCUAUGUUCCCCCGUCAAUGUCCCCCCCUCAGUGUCCCGCAGCCACCGGCUCCCGCACGCACGCCGGCCCAGGGACCGCUCCUCUGCGCUGUCCUACCGGGAAACUUCCCGCUACCCGGCCUGGGGACGAGCGCUGGGAACCCCACGGCGCUGCGUCCCGGGUCCAGCUGGGGUUUUCCCCUCGCUUCGGCUCCCGCUUGCCCUUCCUAAGCUCGUCCCGUGUGUUCCCCUCCGAGAUCCCGCUGGGCCCAGCUAGUCAAUGCCAUGCGGGGGACCUCCCCCUCCAGCCCCCGCCGGGGACCCCGAUGGCCCGGGGGCCGUGCCCGGCGGCACAAGGCGAGCAUAUGCCCCGAGGCGCCCGGCAGCCGGACAUGCCGCUGGUUUUCUUUUCUUUUUUCCCCCAAA